UACAGAGGAGGCAAGCGUUGUUCGGAAUUACUGGGCGUAAAGGGCGCGUAGGCGGUCUUGUAAGUUCCGUGUGAAAUCCCUCGGCUCAACUGAGGAACCGCACGGAAAACUGCUUGGCUUGAGUUCGGGAGAGGGAAGCGGAAUUCCGGGUGUAGCGGUGAAAUGCGUAGAUAUCCGGAGGAACACCGGUGGCGAAGGCGGCUUCCUGGACCGACACUGACGCUGAGGCGCGAAAGCUAGGGGAGCAAACGGG
rnacentral:rRNA from 1 species